ACACAGAAUCCCAGGAAUUGAGAGAAACUGAGGGAGGUGAAUGGUGGGGAACAAACCUCACAGUUUGAACAAGACUGGCCAGGGGCUUGGUGACUCCCUAGGGCGGGGCGGGGGGGGGGCUCUCCCACGCCCUUCUCAAGGAGGGGCUAAGGGCCUGGGCGGGACUUCAAGGCGCAGGGUCUGGGUCGCGGAGCUUAGGGGAGGGGCCCCGGUGGGGGAGGGGGCUUCUCCAAGGCAAGCCGGUGAAAGGUAUCACUUUCUAUGUUACCUGCAGUGGAUCUGUCCUCUAGAACUUCCUCACUUCUGAGCGUGUGGCCACCAGGGUUCGGAGAGAGCGCGGGUGAGCAGCAGCCCCAGGGUCUGAAAAGAAGGGCAGCCCCUGUGGAAGGUUCUAGAAGUGGUGAUGGAUGAUUCCCGCGGGAAUGUUCGAGAACUGAUCCUCUUUUGUUGCCAGUUCAGCGAGUCCAGGUGGUUGAGUAUCAGAGUGUUCCAUCUCGUUUCCCUUUGGGGGUCUCGCUGUAUAGCUCAGGCUGUCCUCGACCUCACUGUGCAGGCCAGGCUUGUAUGGAAUUCAGGGCGAUCUUCCUGCCUCAGUCUCCCUAGUGCUGGAAUUAUAGGCCUUCAUUUCCAUAAGCUACUCAUUUACAAGAACUGUACUUCUAACUUCACAUUCGUGCUUGAAUCUGAACAGCCUUUGGAAAGUGCAAGACUUGAACUACCCUUGAAGUCUACAGGUUUCUAUUUCACUCAUUGCUAUAAUUGCGAGUAUUGCAAUGACGGAGGACUUGACGAUGUAGAAAUAGACUUGAGACAUCCUGUAAUUGAAGAGAAGCUACAAGAUGGGACUGUAUGUUUUAUGGUGCCAGAGCUUUGCCUCUGUAAUAGCCAGCAAUACACUGCAUGAGAACCACUUUUUGUGGGAGUCUGUUGGUCUUCCCCUUUUCCUCAGUUCAGUUUUGUUUCCUCUUGUCCCCUUGAGACAUCACUGAG
ensembl:lncRNA